GGGCCCGUAGCUCAGCCGGUAGAGCAGCGGACUUUUAAUCCGUUGGUCGCAGGUUCGAUUCCUGCCGGGCUCA
rnacentral:tRNA from 1 species